rnacentral:rRNA from 1 species
CAGUAGCCGCGGUAAUACGUAUGUCACAAGCGUUAUCCGGAUUUAUUGGGCGUAAAGCGCGUCUAGGCGGUUAAUUAAGUCUGAUGUGAAAAUGCGGAGCUCAACUCCGUAUUGCGUUGGAAACUGGUUAACUAGAGUACUGGAGAGGUAAGCGGAACUACAAGUGUAGAGGUGAAAUUCGUAGAUAUUUGUAGGAAUGCCGAUGGGGAAGCCAGCUUACUGGACAGAUACUGACGCUAAAGCGCGAAAGCGUGGGUAGCAAACAGGAUUAGAUACCCCAGUAGUCCCUGUCUCUUAUACA